UACAGAGGGUGCAAGCGUUGUUCGGAAUUACUGGGCGUAAAGCGCGUGUAGGCUGCGGUGUAAGUCGGACGUGAAAGCCCUUGGCUUAACCAAGGAAGUGCGUCCGAUACUGCGUCGCUUGAGUGUCGGAGGGGGCGGCGGAAUUCCCGGUGUAGAGGUGAAAUUCGUAGAUAUCGGGAGGAACACCAGUGGCGAAGGCGAUCAUCUGGGGUUGUUCUGACACUGAGGAGCGAAAGCUAGGGGAGCAAACGGG
rnacentral:rRNA from 1 species